AUAAUGCAGGAUAAUAUUAGAAAGUUAAUAAGAAAAAAAACAAAAGCUAAAAAAAUGAAGCGUUUGUUGAGGUCAUUGGAAAAGAUCAGCAUGGCCGAGUAAAGGGAUAUGGAACUGGUGUCACCCCAAUUCAAUUAUUCGGAGUACAAGCUCAAAUUAAGAAUAUGGAGUAUGAAGGAGUAGAUCCUUCGAAAAAAAUGCGAAAGCUAUAAGCACAAGUACAAGACAUGCAAAGUAAGGGGCAAUUUCUUAUAUACCCCUGAAAAGUUUCCGACUUUUCGUUUUACCCCUCUUAGAAGGCUAAUAUUGAAAAUGCCCCUCAUACUUUCCAACCUAUUUCUAAUAUACCCUUAGAGUUAAAAUCUGUUAAGUAACACUGUUAUCUCUGUAAAGUUACUAUUUUGCCCUUUUCAAAUAUAUCCUUCCACCAUCAUUGUCUUUCUUAUUUGCCCUUAAAGUCAGGGGCACAAAAAGUAUUUCAACUUUUUGUCUUUUCCAAUAUACCCCUUUACCGUAACCAACCUUUCUUAUUUGCCCUUAAGUUAAGGGCAAAAUUGGCAUUUUAAUUUUUUUUAACUGUGAUAGAUAUUUAACUCAUGUUUAACUAAGGUUAACUUAACAGGAGAUAACUGCGGGGGUAUUUUGCAAUAACGGUGGAACAGAUAAGGGGCAUUUUAGAAAGAAAAAAAAAGUAGGUGUAGAUCAGAUAUUUCCAGACGCAUGAGGGGUAUAUAGGCAAUUAUCCCUGCAAAGUAACUAUGACUAAGUUGCUAGAGAUGCAACAAAAUUAUGAGCUGAAAUUACAAGGGAUGCAAAAGAAUUAUGAAUUACAGUUGAAAA
rnacentral:lncRNA from 1 species